UACGUAGGGUGCAAGCGUUGUCCGGAAUUAUUGGGCGUAAAGAGCUCGUAGGCGGUUUGUCGCGUCUGCUGUGAAAACCCGAGGCUCAACCUCGGGCCUGCAGUGGGUACGGGCAGACUAGAGUGCGGUAGGGGAGAGUGGAAUUCCUGGUGUAGCGGUGGAAUGCGCAGAUAUCAGGAGGAACACCAAUGGCGAAGGCAGAUCUCUGGGCCGUAACUGACGCUGAGGAGCGAAAGCAUGGGGAGCGAACAGG
rnacentral:rRNA from 1 species